CCCGCGGCCCUACAUAUACAGCGCCACACGCCCCACCCCCGUCUCGACCUCACGAUCCAAGCCAACAACAAUUAUACUACGACCCGACACGCCCCCUCCCUCAGUCCCUCUCUUCAUCAAUCUUUCUCCCGUCCCCCAAACCUCUCGAUCUCGGAGCAGCGAUGACUCGCGGCGACCAGAGGGAGCGGGACAGGCAGAGGGCGCAGGCGCGGAAGCCGGGGACCAAGGGCCGCGACGACGGGCUCACGCCGGAGCAGCGACGAGAGAGGGACGCCAAGGCGCUGCAGGAGAAGACCGCAAAGAAGGCGGCGCAGGCCACGCAGGGGGCCGACGACGCCAAGAAGAAGAACGUCGCCGGCAAGAAAUAGUUCGGAUCCGUUCUGUCUGUCUCAUGAAUUGUCAUGAAGUGGAGAGAUGUUCUGAUGUAGAAUUUCUGUGCGAUGUGGUUGCGCUCGGCUUGUAGCACAAUUCUUUCGGCGCCUCCAGAUCAGGCCCCUGUUGUUGAUGCGUAAUUCGUGGAUCUUCAAUGCAAUGAGAUUAAUUUGGUCGUUACAUCCUCUUUUCAUCCGAAAUUGUCGCCGGAAUUCCUGACCAGCGUUUUGUAGCUUUUGUCUCACGUUGUCUGAUUUGUGCAGUUAGGGCAUCUCAACGUUGACCCUUAAACCGUCCAACGUGGUCUUAACCCCUUGAUUUUGGUGUUUUGACCCUUUUACGAAAGUUUAACCGAAUCUAAUCUGAAAGUGUUUUGACUUUUUUACGAAAGUUUAGC
rnacentral:rRNA from 1 species